UACGUAGGGCGCAAGCGUUAUCCGGAAUUAUUGGGCGUAAAGAGCUCGUAGGCGGUUUGUCGCGUCUGCCGUGAAAGUCCGGGGGCUCAACUCCGGAUCUGCGGUGGGUACGGGCAGACUAGAGUGAUGUAGGGGAGACUGGAAUUCCUGGUGUAGCGGUGAAAUGCGCAGAUAUCAGGAGGAACACCGAUGGCGAAGGCAGGUCUCUGGGCAUUAACUGACGCUGAGGAGCGAAAGCAUGGGGGAGCGAACAGG
rnacentral:rRNA from 1 species